rnacentral:rRNA from 1 species
AUUGAACGCUGGCGGCAUGCCUUACACAUGCAAGUCGAACGGUAACGCGGGGCAACCUGGCGACGAGUGGCGAACGGGUGAGUAAAGCAUCGGAACGUGCCAAUAGUGGGGGAUAGCCCGGCGAAAGCCGGAUUAAUACCGCAUACGACCUGCGGGUGAAAGCGGGGGAUCGCAAGACCUCGCGCUGAUGGAGCGGCCGAUGUCAGAUUAGGUAGUGGGUGGGGUAAAGGCCUACCAAGCCGACGAUGUGUAGCUGGCUUGAGAGGACGACCAGCGACACAGGGACUGCGACGCGGCCCGGACUCCUACGGGAGGCAGCGGUGGGGAAGUUUGGACAAGGGGGGAAACACUGAUCCAGCCAUGCCGCGGGCGGGAAGAAGGCCUUCGGGUUGUAAAGCGCUUUUGUCGGGGAAGAAAUCCCUCAGGCUAAUACCUUGAGGGGAUGACGGUAACCGAAGAAUAAGCACCGGCUAACUACGUGCCAGCCGCCGCCAGCG